AACGAACGCUGGCGGCAUGCCUAACACAUGCAAGUCGAACGAGACCUUCGGGCCUAGUGGCGCACGGGUGCGUAACGCGUGGGAACCUGCCCUUAGGUUCGGAAUAACUCCCCGAAAGGGGUGCUAAUACCGGAUAAUGUCUUCGGACCAAAGAUUUAUCGCCUUUGGAUGGGCCCGCGUUGGAUUAGCUAGUUGGUAGGGUAAAAGCCUACCAAGGCGACGAUCCAUAGCUGGUCUGAGAGGAUGAUCAGCCACACUGGGACUGAGACACGGCCCAGACUCCUACGGGAGGCAGCAGUGGGGAAUAUUGGACAAUGGGCGAAAGCCUGAUCCAGCAAUGCCGCGUGAGUGAUGAAGGCCUUAGGGUUGUAAAGCUCUUUUACCCGGGAUGAUAAUGGCAGUACCGGGAGAAUAAGCUCCGGCUAACUCCGUG
rnacentral:rRNA from 1 species